rnacentral:rRNA from 1 species
GGAUCCAGACUUUGAUCUGGCUCAGGACGAACGCUGGCGGCGCGCCUAACACAUGCAAGUCGAGCGGGAAGCUUUUUAAGGAUUCUUCGGAUGAAUUAAAAAGUGGAGAGCGGCGGACGGGUGAGUAACGCGUGAGAAACCUGCCCUAUACAGGGGGGAUAGCCAUUGGAAACGAUGAUUAAUACCCCAUAUGACCACAGUAUCGCAUGAUACAGCGGUGAAAACUCCGGUGGUAUAGGAUGGUCUCGCGUCUGAUUAGCUAGUUGGUGGGGUAACGGCCUACCAAGGCGACGAUCAGUAGCCGGCCUGAGAGGGUGACCGGCCACACUGGAACUGAGACACGGUCCAGACUCCUACGGGAGGCAGCAGUGGGGAAUAUUGCACAAUGGGCGAAAGCCUGAUGCAGCGACGCCGCGUGAACGAUGAAGGCUUUCGAGUCGUAAAGUUCUGUUCUUGGGGAAGAUAACGACGGUACCCAAGGAGAAAGCACCGGCUAAAUACGUGCCAGCAGCCGCGG